AAGAGAAUAAUUGACUAUGAUUCGUUUAUUGUGGAUUAAGACUUAAAAAUCUAUUGUAGAUCCGGGCUGAAGACCCAUCGGCCCUGGGGAAAUUUUCUUGAGUGUACGGGGGCAAAUUUUUAAAAAAACAUAGUAAAACACAUUUUGCAGGGAAUAAUAGAAACACAGGCAGUUCUAUACAAGGUAGAUCUGAAGCUCGGACGCCAAUGCACAACUCGGAUAAAUCAUUAGAUCCCAGGGAAAACAUACUUAUUAACCGUAACGGUCGUCUGACUCUUCUAAAGGAAACGAUCAUGGAUUGCCGCUCUUCUCUCAAGGUUCCAGGCUAUGUUUGUCUUAGAAAGGACGCUGCAUCACAAUUCCAGAGGGACAUAUGCAUUCUUAUCAGAAGAAAAAUUGAAUUCCAGGAGAUAGAUUUUAAUCACAUCAUGUAUCCAUAGUA